CCCAGGGCAGGCUUCUGUCUAGUUCCUGAGGAAGCUGAGGCUGAGGCUACCGAAGGGAAGGAAACCCUUUCCCCGCCUGGAAUCUGGUUUUUCGAGGCCAGAAUGAUGAGCUUUAACGGAUCCUUCCUGAUUCUCAUUUGUUGCCCCAGUUCGUGGGCUCUCCUUUAGGAGGUGGGUGUGAACCCAGCUCCUCUUGAGACUCCCACAGCAUACGUUGAGCCUGGGGCCAGGCGAGGUGGGGGCGGGAGUACCUCUCAGUCCCUUCCUCAGAGCGGGAGGAUCUCAACAUUUUAAAUAAGGCGACCGGGAAUCAUAUUUUUGGAUGAUCCAGGACCAGGGGUGCCUAUUAUCCAUCGACCUGUAGUCGCGGGGCGCCCGUUUUGUUCCGGGCACGGGACCACCCGGGGCCACACCUUCCUCAUCAGUAGACUGAAGGGGCUGGACCUCUCCACUCAGCCUUGAGGGGCGGUUAAUUUGUGCCGGGCUCGGCCAUGAGGGCAGAAGGCAGCAAUGCCCACCCUGUCUUCUGCUGUCGCUAUGAGAUCAGAAGCAUGUCGAGUUAGUGGGAGGAUACUAGGGGAAAGGAGUAGGUUGGGAGUCUAGGCAAGGCUCCCUGCUCCUUUGAAGAAGGUGGGCUUGAAGCCAAGGAACUGAGGAGACAGGUGACCAGAGAAGAGCAUUCUGAGGCAGCCGUUGGGAGUUGGAAAUAUUUGAAGACUGAAAAAGCAGGAAGGGGCCAUUUCCUGAGAAGCUUAAAAGCUAAACAAGGGAUUUUCAUAUUGAAUCUGGAAUAUUUCUUGUGAAGAAGUUUCUUCCUCUUUUACUUCCAGACCACGAGAUAACAAUAGCUGAUGUUUGUUUAAAAUUUAGGUGUUAGAAAGCCUUUCAUGUUCUGUGUGCCUUAUUGGAGACAGGGUGGCCCUGGAGUAGGAGACUAGAAUGGUGAGAACUACAUACUAAGCCUUCCAGAAGGAUUAUAGCACCUAAAAUAUACUCUUCCUUACCCUACCUUGAUGCCUGGGGAUUGGUGGUGCCUUAAAUAUCUAAAAACCAGAAUCAAAAGAAUAAUGCUCAAGGCCAACAUUCCAGAAACUUUAGGUCAACAAGACCUUCCCUGGUGGAAGCUGGAUAUUUACAUUUCCAUAAGUGAAAAUUACAAUGUGAAUCUGUAAGAGAAAGGAAAUAAAAUCUUGGAACUUCAGGGAUUUGGAAAAAAGUUACUACUCAAGACUCAGGGGAUAAGCGUAUAUGAGUGGGACAACAGAAACAAAGACCAAUUUGCAAGUCAGGAAAACUCCAAGACAAACAUAAUAAUAAAAAAUAAUUUCAUGGAAAGAAGUUCAGAAAAGCGUCUAGAUCAACAUUUUAUCUGUCUUGGUAGAACAAAGUCUCCAAUACAUGAGAGUAAGGUGAUCUGUGAAAAUGCCAAAUGAAAGUCUCAUACAGAAAUUGUCCAGAUAUAGCGACUAAGAAAAAACUGAUGUCAAAAUCACAUGUAAGAAAAAUACUAUACAUGUUCCAUCUGUAGCACAUUUUUUUGGGGAGAAAAAUCCUCUUUAUUCAUUAGAGUUCACACAGGAGAGAAACUAUAUACAUGUGAUCAGUGUAGCAAAGACUUCCUUUGGAGAGCCUACCUCAUGUCUUAAGAGGAGAGUCAUACACAGGAGAGAAACCCUAUAAAUGUGAUGAAUGUGGUAAAGGCUUUAUUUGGAGAGCUUACCUCAGUGCUCAUCAGAGAGCCCACACAAUUGAAAAUUUAUAUACUUGUGAUCAGUGUGGAAAAGAAUUAAAAGUUACUCAAAUUUUUAAUUAAUCAGAAACUCCACACAGGUAAGAAAUCCUAUGAAUGUGAUGGAUGUGGCAAAGGCUUCAUUCGAAGAGGAUAUCUCAUUGUUCAUCAGAAAAUUCACACAGGAGAGAAACCCUAUAAAUGUUAGGAAUGUAGUAAAGACUUCAUUCAAAGAACAUACUCCAAUGUUCAAUGGAGACCACAUAGUGGAGAAACCCUAUAAAUGUGAUGAAUGUGGUAAAGGCUUCAUUCAGAAGGCUUGCCUCAGUGUUCAUCAGAUAAUCCAUACAGGUGAGAAACCAUAUACUUGUGAUGAAAAUGUGGAAGAAGAUUCUGAGAUGAUUCAAAUUUUUAUAGAUAUCAGAGACUUCACACAGGUGAGAAACCCUAUCAAUGUGAUGAAUAUGGCAAAGGCUUCAUUCAGAGGAUUCAUGUAGGGGGAAAUCUUUUGCAACUAUGAUGGAUAUGGCAAAAGCUUCAUUUACUCUGGUUACCUCAAUGUUCAUCAGAGAACCCCCUGUAGGAGAGAAACCAAAUAUGUGUGACCAGUGUGGAAGAAGAUUCAGCCAACAGUGACAUUUUAACAGACAUCAGGAGAAGUCCUAUGCUUGUGUUGAAGGUGGCAAAGGGUUCAUACAAAGAAUAACUUUUAGUGGCCCUUAGUCCACUGAAGAGAGAAACCCUAUGUAUACAGUGAUUGCACAAGAGGAUUCAGGCAGUCCUCAUAUUUUUAUAGAACUCAGAUAAUAAACAUGGUAGAUACCAUAUAAAUGUAGUCUUUUGACCAACACAUCUAGGAGAGAAUAGACUUCACUGUUUGAUGGAAAGUUCACACUAGAGAAAUAAGAAAUUUGGGAAAACCGUUACUCAGAUAUUUAUGUUUAGAGAAUGAACAUAUGAGAGAAACUGGUUAACUGUGCAUUUGUGGAAAAAAUUUUAUCCUGAACUCACCUCUUUAAUGCUCGUAAUAAAGUACACCCAGGAAUGAAAUCCUUUAUGAUA